rnacentral:lncRNA from 1 species
GAAGAGAAGUUUAAUAUGGACAAAUACACGGAUUUGGUGACCGUCAGCAAGCCAGUUAUUUAUAUCUCCAUAGAAGAAAUCAUCAAUACACAUUUAGUAAGUGGGUCAAAGAGGGGUCUCGGCCCCAGACCCUGGACAGACAGCCAUUCACUGGGAAGUGCCUAGUCCCAGCAGAAAUUGCCUGUGCGCUUGGGUCUGUUUUUAAACCCAGUGGGCUUCUCCCAUAAUUAUUCCCUGGCUCUCAGACCUUAGUAAAACCCUUCCCAAGCAAGACAGUUGAGUUAACCUUUGCAAUACAACAUGAUAUAGGAACAGUUUAAACCCAAGAGAAGCCCAAGGCCGGCAUUCGCUCGCCCACCGGAGCUGUGCUGUCUAGACCCGCCUGCUUCCGCCCCUCUGGGAGUGCUCUGCUCUGUUUUUGCAGACAUUUUCUGAUAAACAGAGACUGUUCUCCCUCUUCUGAUGCUGGGAUGUGCAUCACUUAAUCUUAGCCAAAAGGUCAGGAAGUGAAGCGGCUUAGAAAAGGGGGUGGGGUGGAAAACCGCUAUGCAGCUAUGUGGGCAGAUAAGGAACCCCCUCCUGCAGGGAUGGGUUGCCAUUGUUUUAAAACCAGGUUUCUUAGAAUUUCAGACAGUGCCUGGGUCACAUGCAAGCAUCCCAAUCAGCCAUCUGCACUCCCGCAGUGACUGACCCCAGGAAGGAACUGGGGAAGCCUUGGGUGGCUUUCCAUCCUUUAUGAUAAGGAGAAGCUGGGCAACAGAGGUUGUGUUGCUAAUUGGAGCUUAGUUUGCUUUCAAAUGCAAUUGGAAUUAAGUUUGGUUUGUGGAAUUUAUUUAUUUAUUUAUUUAUUUAUUUAUUUAUUUAUUUAUUUUCAAGGCAAGACUGUCACUUGCUAGCUAGCUCUAACUGGAUUCAAAUUCAAGAUCCUCCUGUUUCUGCCACAGGCAUGCACCUCCACAGUGUAGCACAAUAUCACCUAAUUCAGUCAGAAUGGGGCGGGGGGUUAUAGCUCAGGCUAGACCCAGAAAUGACUAUGUAGCUCAGGCUAGCCUCAGACUCACUAUGAUCUUCUCUAAGAUACUCCCAAGUGGUAGGAUUACAGAUAUGAGCCACCGGGCUCAGCUGGGGAUUAGGUUUGGGAAAAGCUAACUUUUUCGUGAACAAUUUUAAGCUUUGCUAGUCUAAACAGGGACCUGGGAUGGUUCAGAAACGUACCCCAGGCCCCCCAGAGAUCCUACAUCCUAAUGAUCCCAGAGAUUCAUGUCCACACCAACAUUCUAGAAAUCCAGAUAUUUCAGUGAACAAUAAAUCCGACUUUGUGUUGGUUGUACUCAGCACUAAAGGUUGCCUCCCUAGCAUCGAACCUUCAGAAGUCAGACCCCAGUACUUUAGACCACCUAGACGUGGGGUGCGCUGUCUGCUUGGACGUCUAUCUUCAUCAUGAAGCACUUUCACAGCUUGGAUGUGGGUUUGGAGGAAAGAAGGACCCAGUUUUAACUUUUGUCUUCCAAGGCUGAAACAGGGAAUUUGUCUGGUGCUUGCCACAGACUCUCAAUGUGUCCCAAUUAAAUGAGUGGACUUGAGUUCAUCAGCCUCCUGUCCAACAAUGAACUGCUUCCAAAAGUAACUUUGUAAGGAAUAAGUACAUAAGAACAUGCACAUUUUAUAUUUGACCCUAUGGUGGGACAUUAUUUUUUUUCCAUUUUUUAUUAGGUAUUUAACUCAUUUACAUUUCCAAUGCUAUACCAGAAGUCCCCCAUAUCCACCCACCCCCACUCCCCUGCCCACCCACUCCCCCUUUUUGGCCCUGGUGUUCCCCUGUACUGGGGCAUAUAAAGUUUGCAAGUCCAAUGGGCCUCUCUUUCCAGUGAUGGCCGACUAGGCCAUCUUUUGAUAUAUAUGCAGCUAGAGUCAAGAGCUCCGGGGUACUGGUUAGUUCAUAAUGUUGUUCCACCUAUAGGGUUGCAGAUCCCUUUAGCUCCUUGGCUACUUUCUCUAGCUCCUCCAUUGGGAGCCCUAUGAUCCAUCCAUUAGCUGACUGUGAGCAUCCACUUCUGUGUUUGCUAGGCCCCGGCAUAGUUUCACGGUGGGACAUUAUUUAACCCAAAUAAAUACGGUCAUUUUGGUUGCGUGCUUGCAGGAAGGAAUGUGGACAUGCAGAAGUGGCGAGACAUUCCCUUUGAGUGUGAGGUUCUUUCUCACGGGUGGCAGAGAGAAAAAUGUUAGUGAGUUCACUUCGACCGCUGGGAUUUAAAGAGAAUAGCCUGCUCCUGUGCUGACAAGAAUUGAAAACAGAACAGGUCCUGGGGACAGGGCUGGGGACUGACUUGAAGUGCCUUUGUGCUGGAUUGGGAGCAGCUGUAACAGGCCAGUGCGUCACAGCCCAGUCUGUCUGUCGUCUGAGUGAGGAGGCGUCUGUGGCAGACACAACUCGUCAGCUUCGUGACCUGCCAAGCUCACAGGCUGUGUGCUUGCUCCUGGCUCUCUGUGAAACACAGAGCUUCAGCAUUUGCUCUUUAAGGCCGACGUUUUUCAGGAAAUGAUUUACAUUCUCUAAUUAACAGGAUAAAGGGUAGACACUGGCUACCUAUAAUAAAUCUUCCAUUUCAGAGAUAGCAGCCAAAUCGGCUGUCCUGUCUCCAGCAAGAACUAGAACAUAAAUUCACCAUCCUGUGGUUUUUCUUCUCUAACGCCUCUACC